AAACUUUACCGGCAGGGGAGAUAACCGAGAUCAAAAGGCGGUUCACCCCAGGGCGACGGCUCCGCCGCCAAUGCACUCCAGGCGUGCUGACACCGCAGCGAUUCCCCAAAUGUGGGAAUCUCGACUGCAUAAUUUCUGGUAGUGGGGGACUGCUUUCGCGCUCUCACCCU